GGUGUUUUUUUUUAACGUUUCGUGCGCUUGGUAUAGGGUUUUGCAUCUCGGGAAUUCACAAAAUAAUGGCAAACUGGCGUUUUUUAUAGUGAUAUCUGUUUUAUCCCUCCAUAAACAAAGGAAAUAUAUCUAGGUUCUCCAAAAAGAAUGUAUCCAUCUGUCUUCACCUAGGCCGGCAGACAACGAAGAUGCAGACAUAUUACAGUCAGACCUGCGUGUUGCUAUUCAUACUCGUAUCCACCUAUAUCGGGUGUUCAUCCGCCUGUCCGACCGGAUGCAUCUGCCGAGGGAGUCCCGAGAAAAAGGAUACAGCUGUCUGCUUCAAAUCAUGGCCUUACACUCACAAACCAGUAGAGUUUGAUGAGCCGAUCACCUCAAUUGAAUUUCGUCAGCUCUUAUUCCAAGAUGUGGAGCCUUACUUGUCAGCAGUGCAUGACGUCUCUAA